rnacentral:misc_RNA from 1 species
GAUGAAGAACGUAGCGAAAUGCGAUAAGUAAUGUGAAUUGCAGAACUCAGUGAAUCAUCGAAUCUUUGAACGCACAUUGCGCCCCCUGGCUUUCCGGGGGGCAUGCCUGUUCGAGCGUCAUUACAACCCUCAAGCUUUGCUUGGUAUUGGACAUUGCCAGUUUCUGGCAGGUCUUAAAAUCAGUGGCGGUGCCAUUUGGCUUCAAGCGUAGUAAUUCUUCUCGCUUUGGAGAUCCAGGUGGUUACUUGCCAAUAACCCCCAAUUUUUUCAGGUUGACCUCGGAUCAGGUAGGGAUACCCGCUGAACUUAAGCAUAUCAAUAAGCGGAGGA